GAUAAGGAAUGGGAGAGGUUCGAUUACAUCGCAAUCGUGGACGUGACAACAAUAACCAAGGUAACAACCAAGAACAAGAUAGAACGCAAUGGCGAUCACCGAAACAACUACUUGGGCAAUCAGAACUGCAAGCGUAAACCAGACAAUACCGUUGCAGCAAUAUCAAACUCAAUCAAGAAAGGACCAAACAAACAAAAUGAUGGCCCUUCAUUCAAUGAACUACUCAAAAAACAAUGUCCAUGGCACCAACAUAGCAAACACGCUGCAAUAAAUUGUUACAACCUUCGCAGAGUAAUGCAAGAGUUGAUAGAACCUCCCGCCAAC
rnacentral:lncRNA from 1 species